UACAGAGGUCUCGAGCGCUAGGCGGAAUCACUGGGCUUAAAGCGUGUGUAGGCGGAUCGGUAAGUACCUUGUGAAAUCCCACAGCUUAACUGUGGAACUGCUUGGUAUACUGCCAGUCUUGAGCCAGCUAGGGGCUACCGGAACAAAUGGUGGAGCGGUGAAAUGCGUAGAUAUCAUUUGGAACGCCAAUGGUGAAAAACAGGUAGCUGGGGCUGUGCUGACGCUGAGACACGAAAGCCAGGGAGCAAACGGGG
rnacentral:rRNA from 1 species